AUGGUAAAAGUCAAACCACGGAUAAUUUCAGAAUCCUCACAUCUAUUCCUUCUGCCUUUUCUCAGGGCCACUCUGUUCUUGCAAAUAGCUACAACCAAGGCUGAAGGAAAGAGCUGGCACACCACUAGAAGAACUUCAGGCAUUGAAUGCUCUUUCCUGAAUUCAACAGUCCAUCUGGAUAGAGUUGAGGUAGAACCCAUGACACUACUGGGAAAGUCAACACAAGGAUAUAAGACUAGGAAGGCAUUCCUCCUGACCAGCAAAGAUUGAUCUUCACUGGGAAGCGCUGGAAGAUGGAUGCAACCUGUCUGACAACAACACCCAGAAAGAGGAUAUUUUGUUCCUGAUAUUCCAUUUUUGAAAGAUGCUGGAGAAUCACAUGGACAUGUCGACCACUAAGACUACUACCCUUGAGGCAGAGCCCAGUGGCACCAUUGAGAAUGUCAUGGAAAAGAUCCCAGACAAGGAGGCAUUCCUCCUGAACAUCAGAGAUUGAUCUUCACCCAGAAGAAGCUGGACAAUGGAUGUACCUUGUCUGACUACAACAUCCUGAAAGAAUCCACUCUGCACCUGGCCUUGCAAAGGAGGGUGUGUGUGUGUCUAAAUCUUCCUUGUUUUAAACUUUCAAGAAAUUUCAUUGUGUUUUUCUUUCAAUAAAGUUGUUGCACUCCCCCAAAAAGUAAAAAUAAAAAUAUAUUCAGCGUCU
rnacentral:lncRNA from 1 species